GACGCGAGAGCGCCGUAGGCAGGAGCGGGGGACCCAAAGUCUUCCGCCGGACCGGCAGACGUACGCCGCGCAGCACCGGACAGCAACCCGCUGCGCGGAGGAGUACGACGCCGGCUCCGGCUCGGGGUGAAGCCGAACAACGCCGCCUGCUCGCGGCCCGGCCGGGCAACUCACGCCCGAACCCGACAGCUGACCUCGCAGGCGUCGGUGAGGACUAAC
rnacentral:sRNA from 2 species